rnacentral:snRNA from 1 species
GUAUUUAGCGGACAGGGAUCACGAUCACAAAGGUAGUUUUCCCAGGGUGAGAUUUAUCUAUUGUUCUCUGGAUAUGCUGCAAUUUCCCCAAAUGUGGGAGAGUCAACUGCAUCACCUGUGGUAGUACGGACUGUGUUCACGCUUUCCCCU